UAGGGAAUCUUCCGCAAUGGACGCAAGUCUGACGGAGCAACGCCGCGUGAGUGAAGAAGGAUUUCGGUUCGUAAAACUCUGUUGUUAGAGAAGAACAGCGCAUAGAGUAACUGUUAUGCGUGUGACGGUAUCUAACCAGAAAGCCACGGCUAACUACGUGCCAGCAGCCGCGGUAAUACGUAGGUGGCAAGCGUUGUCCGGAUUUAUUGGGCGUAAAGCGAGCGCAGGCGGUCAAUUAAGUCUGAUGUGAAAGCCCCCGGCUCAACCGGGGAGGGUCAUUGGAAACUGGUUGACUUGAGUGCAGAAGAGGAGAGUGCAAUUCCAUGUGUAGCGGUGAAAUGCGUAGAUAUAUGGAGGAACACCAGUGGCGAAGGCGACUCUCUGGUCUGUAACUGACGCUGAGGCUCGAAAGCGUGGGUAGCAAACAGG
rnacentral:rRNA from 1 species